rnacentral:rRNA from 1 species
UACGUAGGGCGCAAGCGUUAUCCGGAAUUAUUGGGCGUAAAGAGCUCGUAGGCGGUCUGUCGCGUCGGCUGUGAAAUCCCGAGGCUCAACCUCGGGUCUGCAGUCGAUACGGGCAAACUAGAGUAUUGCAGGGGAGACUGGAAUUCCUGGUGUAGCGGUGAAAUGCGCAGAUAUCAGGAGGAACACCGGUGGCGAAGGCGGGUCUCUGGGCAAUAACUGACGCUGAGGAGCGAAAGCGUGGGGGAGCGAACAGG